ensembl:lncRNA
CAAGAAUCUUCACCAUCUGAAUUAUGAGAUCCCGGUGAAUCCAGAGCCUAUUUCAGGAACACUGAGCAUGAGCCAGGAAUGGAAGAGAGGUGUGAUGAAUUCAAAGAAACAAGAGGAAACCCAUGUCGACACCAGGAAAACAUGCACAGAAACUCUGCACAGACAGCAACCCGAGUUCAGGAUCGAACCCAGAAACCUGGAAUUGUGAGGCAGCAAUGCGACCACUUUUUUUUUUCCAAAUGUUAUUGUUGUUGUUUUUUUAAAUAAAAAAAAAAAAAAACAUUUCAUGGUAAGGGAACCCAG